rnacentral:rRNA from 1 species
CGGGGGGCAGCAGUGGGGAAUUUUGCGCAAUGGGCGAAAGCCUGACGCAGCAACGCCGCGUGAGUGAUGAAGGCUUUCGGGUCGUAAAGCUCUGUCGAGGGGAAAGAAGUGUAUUGGGGUUAAUACCCCUGAUACUUGACGGUACCCCUAAAGGAAGCACCGGCUAACUCCGUGCCAGCAGCCGCGGUAAUACGGGGGGUGCAAGCGUUGUUCGGAAUUAUUGGGCGUAAAGAGCGUGUAGGCGGUUUGGUAAGUCUGAUGUGAAAGCCCUGGGCUCAACCCAGGAAGUGCAUUGGAUACUGUCAGACUUGAAUACGGGAGAGGGUAGUGGAAUUCCUAGUGUAGGAGUGAAAUCCGUAGAUAUUAGGAGGAACACCGGUGGCGAAGGCGGCUACCUGGACCGAUAUUGACGCUGAGACGCGAAAGCGUGGGUAGCAAACAGGAUUAGAUACCCGCGU